UACGUAGGGUGCGAGCGUUAAUCGGAAUUACUGGGCGUAAAGCGUGCGCAGGCGGUUCGUUGUGUCGGCGGUGAAAGCCCCGGGCUCAACCUGGGAAUGGCCGUUGAAACUGGCGAACUGGAGUGUGGCAGAGGGGGGUGGAAUUCCGCGUGUAGCAGUGAAAUGCGUAGAGAUGCGGAGGAACACCGAUGGCGAAGGCAGCCCCCUGGGCUGACACUGACACUGAGAGACGAAAGCUAGGGGAGCGAAUGGG
rnacentral:rRNA from 1 species